ACCACACCUAGCCUGACAAACCAGACCCACAUCCAGGUGUUGGGUCUAGGAACUCCACAUUGGCAGGGCUCAAUCCGAGGGGCGGGGUAAACGGUUGUCUUUCAAAGUCCCUACAACCAACCAGGGCGAUGCUAGUUGAUGGAUUAAACUUUUGUCGUAUCCGGUCGACAAAACUCCGAACACAUCUUUCUUUUUCAGAAUGACUUCAGUGCCGUUCUUUGUUCUUUCUCAAAGAAAAGCUUCACUCCAAGUAUUCCAGAAAACCUCUGCUUCACCAGC